UCAAUGGAUUACGUGAACGAGAAUGAUUCGUUCACCAAAAAGAUUCGUUCAAAAAGAACGAUUCGUUCACGAACGUAACAACACUACUGAAGCCAUAACACGACGUUCACUCACCCCGAAUAUUUUGGGCUCCUUUUUGUUUGUCUUGUAGCUUUUCCUCUACCAGAGUUGGGCUAGUGUUCACUGCCAGGUCCGUCGACACGGUCAAAGCCAUCCUUCGUUUUCAAUACCUAAAUCGAGUUUUAGCUGGGUUUUCAAGACGUCAAGCAACCAAAUGCCUUCUGCUGACUCGGAUCCUCCCAAAUUCCAUCGCCUGUUCAAGUUUUAUGACCCUGAAGUGGUGGCAGUAAGUGGAUGUGGACCAAAUAAUUUGUCAUUAAGGAAGACAGAUAAUGGUAGUUUGGGAUCUUACUGUAAUCAUGCUGUAAUAGUUUCAUUUGAGAUGUUUUGCUUAAUGUUAUUGUUGAAAAUAUGUUUGAAUUUUUACUCUCACCAUGCGUUUUCCCUCUCUAGCUUAUGGCAAUAUUACUAGGUUUGUUCCAGCUCCUCCUGACUAUACCAACCUACAACAUCAGCAUUGAUAUAAAAUAUUUGUUUGUGUGCCCCCUCUGUGUUGGUUCUGUGUCUGUGAUUGCUGGAUCAUUUGGUUUGGCAUCUGAAAGAACUCCUAAGAGAGAACUGUUAAAAAACUCUCUGAUCUUUGGUCUUGCUGGCCUGGUGGGGACACUGAUUGGUCUUAUUCUGUAUGCUUAUGCUGCAAAUACGUCUCUGGACAUCCCUCCUUGCUCACUUGAAUCCCAUGAAGACGAUGCUUGUCCACAAACAAUCUUUCAAAGUUUUUACAAAGUGAUCUCUGGGCAGCUGUUGCUUUGUGAUAUAGCAGCUCUGGUUCUUCAUUGUUUCCUAUCAUUUUCUGCAUUUAAAGGACUGAGAAUACACUAAGAUUGCAUUAUCCAUACACCUUCUCUUUUAGGCACAGAUUUUUUACGAGCAUUUAAUCUUUAUAUUUAAAUUAGUAUUUUGUCUCUAAAUCAUAAUCAUUGCUAUUGUUUUUCUAUCUUUGUUUUUUUUUCCUUAAAAUUGUGAAUUUACAAUAUUGUCAUGUACAAAACACAUAUUUGGAAGUCUUUGUGAAACUGGAGGCAUUAACUUACACUGUAAACAUUUUACCUGCUAUUACUGAACAUGUAAGAUUAUUUGCUACAUUAUUAUUAUUAUUAAGUAAAAAAAAUGGUGUCAAAGUUACAACCUUGAUGAUGGUAUUUUCGACCACUUUGUUUCAUUAGCCAUGAAAUCAUUUCUAUGAAACGAUCAAUGAAACUCUGAAAGCUCAUAAAAUCACAAAUUACUUUGACAAAUGAAAUGGAUAUAAUCAAAUAUGUAAAAUAAAUGAUGAAAAUGUAUAGUUUUUAAGUGCCUGUAAUUCCAAACGCUAAAUUAAUGUUCUACUAUACUACUCUUUAGUGCUUAUAUUUGUAAAGUUGUAAGACAAUUCUUUCUGCAAUAUUAAACUUCUAUAUAAAAAAAAAUUAUGUUGCCUUUCUGGUGAAAUAUUAGGACCAAC
ensembl:lncRNA